rnacentral:rRNA from 1 species
UACGGGGGGGGCAAGCGUUGUUCGGAAUUACUGGGCGUAAAGGGCGCGUAGGCGGUUUGCUAAGUUGACUGUGAAAACUCUGGGCUUAACCCAGAGCCUGCAUUCAAUACUGGCAGGCUAGAGUUCUGGAGGGGAUAGCGGAAUUCCUGGUGUAGCGGUGAAAUGCGUAGAUAUCAGGAGGAACACCGGUGGCGAAGGCGGGUCUCUGGGCCGUAACUGACGCUGAGGAGCGAAAGCGUGGGGAGCGAACAGG